AACGAACGCUGGCGGCAUGCCUAACACAUGCAAGUCGAACGAAGGCUUCGGCCUUAGUGGCGCGCGGGUGCGUAACGCGUGGGAAUCUGCCCUUUGGUUCGGAAUAACAGCUGGAAACGGCUGCUAAUACCGGAUGAUGACGAAAGUCCAAAGAUUUAUCGCCAGAGGAUGAGCCCGCGUUGGAUUAGGUAGUUGGUGGGGUAAAGGCCUACCAAGCCGACGAUCCAUAGCUGGUCUGAGAGGAUGAUCAGCCACACUGGGACUGAGACACGGCCCAGACUCCUACGGGAGGCAGCAGUGGGGAAUAUUGGACAAUGGGCGCAAGCCUGAUCCAGCAAUGCCGCGUGAGUGAUGAAGGCCCUAGGGUUGUAAAGCUCUUUUACCCGGGAAGAUAAUGACUGUACCGGGAGAAUAAGCCCCGGCUAACUCCGUG
rnacentral:rRNA from 1 species